GUAAUUUGCUCUUUAUUCAAAAUUUAUCAUGUGCUCAGCCCGAAUUUCUCCUAACUCAAGUUAGAAUAUCCAACCUUCUUAAUAACAUGCGAUAAUUUUUAAUUUCAGUCUCAGCCAAGUAGUGCCAAUGGAAAACGAGGGAUCCGGGAGGGGAUGAAAAUGUUAGUUGCUUCCUCACUGUUUGGAGUCGGUCGAACUUCUGAAUCCUCACAAACACCACCACAACCUCCACCUAGUGCCCCUAUAAUGCCGAGAAACACUUCAGCAUCUCCUUCCACCCCUAAGUUCAUUGACAAAGAGCCAGUGAUGGACUGGACAGAUAGCUUUGUCACCAGGCAGAUGGCUUUGAAGCCUGCUCACCACCCAAAAUGCAACAUUGAUCAUACUGUCAUGAUCACAACUCCCCCGUGGCAGUUGGAGUCCCUGCAUGGAAAAAAUAAGUUUCCCCCAUCAAGUGAACUCAAACCCCCACAGAUUGUCAGCAGGAAUAAUAGCAUUGCCUCUAAGACAGUACCACCACGAUCUCCAAUUCCAAAAGAAGAGGUUUAUGCGUCUCCAGAAUCACCUCUGUCUAAGAUGGAUGUCCACAUGGUCGGGUGGCCGUCAGAUAAAGAUCAGGAAGCAGGCUCAAAGCAAAGUGUCUCUCUUUAGAAUUACCUGCUCCAGAGCGACUUUUGCCUAUCGGUGCUGCGCCAGUGAAUAGAGAAGGCAUGGUAUCUCUCGUGCGCCAUGUCAGCAAUGUUCUAGGGAUAUCUAACUCAAACGGUAUUGUCAAUCUCAUUGUAUAGAAUUAUAUUCGCCUGUCUUUUCUUGAAUUCACA
rnacentral:lncRNA from 1 species